UACAGAGGGGGCAAGCGUUGUUCGGAAUUACUGGGCGUAAAGGGCGCGUAGGUGGCCUUCUAAGUCGAACGUGAAAUCCCUGGGCUCAACCCAGGAACUGCGUCCGAUACUGGAAGGCUUGAAUCCGGGAGAGGGAUGCGGAAUUCCAGGUGUAGCGGUGAAAUGCGUAGAUAUCUGGAGGAACACCGGUGGCGAAGGCGGCAUCCUGGACCGGUAUUGACGCUGAGGCGCGAAAGCCAGGGGAGCAAACGGG
rnacentral:rRNA from 1 species